rnacentral:rRNA from 1 species
CCUACGGGGGGCUGCAGUCGAGAAUAUUCGUCAAUGCCCGAAAGGGUGAACGAGCGACGCCGCGUGCGGGAAGAAGGCCCUUGGGUUGUAAACCGCUUUUCUCACAGAAAAAUUUUGUGAUUGUAUGUGAGGAAUAAGAGGUUACUAACUCUGUGCCAGCAGUAGCGGUAAUACAGAGACCUCAAGCAUUAUCCGGAUUUAUUGGGCGUAAAGAGCAUGUAGGCGGUCUUAUUAGUCAGAUGUCAAAUCCUCGAGCUCAACUCGAGAACUGCAUUUGAAACGGUAAGGCUAGAGAUAGUGAGAGACCAGUAGAACAUAUGGUGUAGCAGUGAAAUGCGUUGAUAUCAUAUGGAAUACCAAAGGCGAUAGCAUCUGGUUGGCACUGUUCUGACGCUGAGAUAUGAAAGCGUGGGUAGCGAAUGGGAUUAGAUACCCCAGUAGUC